rnacentral:tRNA from 2 species
UGCCGGGUCGUCUAACGGUAGGACCGCAGGCUCUGAACCUGUGUAUCGUGGUUCGAAUCCAUGCCCGGCAGCCA